CCUACGGGUGGCAGCAGUGAGGAAUAUUGGUCAAUGGGCGCAGGCCUGAACCAGCCAAGUCGCGUGAGGGAUGACUGCCCUAUGGGUUGUAAACCUCUUUUAUAAGGGAAGAAUAUUGACGACGUGUUCUCAGAUGCACGUACCUUAUGAAUAAGCAUCGGCUAACUCCGUGCCAGCAGCCGCGGUAAUACGGAGGAUGCGAGCGUUAUCCGGAUUUAUGGGGUUAAAGGGGUGCGUAGGCGGAAUUUUAAGUCAGGGGUAAAAUGUCGGGGCUAACCCUUGAAUGGCCGUUGAAACUGGAGUACUUGAGUACGGACGAGGUAGGCGGAAUGAGUGGAGUAGCGGUGAAAUGCUUAGAUAUAACGUAGAACCCCGAUAGCGAAGGCAGCUUGCCAGACCGUUACUGACGCUGAUGCGCGAGAGCGUGGGUAGCGAACAGGAUUAGAUACCCCUGUAGUC
rnacentral:rRNA from 1 species